AUGAACGCUGGCGGCGUGCCUAAUACAUGCCAGUCGAGCGAACAGACGAGGAGCUUGCUCCUCUGACGUUAGCGGCGGACGGGUGAGUAACACGUGGAUAACCUACCUAUAAGACUGGGAUAACUUCGGGAAACCGGAGCUAAUACCGGAUAAUAUAUUGAACCGCAUGGUUCAAUAGUGAAAGACGGUUUUGCUGUCACUUAUAGAUGGAUCCGCGCCGCAUUAGCUAGUUGGUAAGGUAACGGCUUACCAAGGCAACGAUGCGUAGCCGACCUGAGAGGGUGAUCGGCCACACUGGAACUGAGACACGGUCCAGACUCCUACGGGAGGCAGCAGUAGGGAAUCUUCCGCAAUGGGCGGAAGCCUGACGGAGCAACGCCGCGUGAGUGAUGAAGGUCUUCGGAUCGUAAAACUCUGUUAUUAGGGAAGAACAAAUGUGUAAGUAACUAUGCACGUCUUGACGGUACCUAAUCAGAAAGCCACGGCUAACUACGUG
rnacentral:rRNA from 1 species